rnacentral:tRNA from 1 species
AGCAGCGUAGAGAAGCCGGCCAAUCUCGCGUGGCUCAUAACCACGAGGUCGCCCGUUCGAAUCGGGCCGCUGCUACCA